AUGCUUAUGCGGUACAAAAAAUUAAUUGGAUUAACACAGAGAAGAUUAGCAUGGCAUCUGUGAAAAGGAUGACAUGCAAAUCCGUGAAAAUGUGGGUCUUAAU